UUAGCUAUGUCUUCUUCUAA
rnacentral:snRNA from 1 species